AUUGAACGCUGGCGGCAGGCCUAACACAUGCAAGUCGAACGAGUGGCGGACGGGUGAGUAAUGUCUGGGAAACUGCCCGAUGGAGGGGGAUAACUACUGGAAACGGUAGCUAAUACCGCAUACCAUCGGAUGUGCCCAGAUGGGAUUAGCUAGUAGGUGGGGUAAUGGCUCACCUGGGCGACGCUCCCUAGCUGGUCUGAGAGGAUGACCAGCCACACGGGAACUGCGACACGGUCCAGACUCCUACGGGAGCCAGCAGGGGGGAAUAUUGGACAAUGGGCGCACGCCUGAUGCAGCCAUGCCGCGUGGAAGAAGAAGGCCUUCGGGUUGUAAGGUUCUUUCAGCGGGGAGGCGUUACCCGCAGAAGAAGCACCGGCUAACUCCGUGCCAGCAGCCGCGGUAAUUC
rnacentral:rRNA from 1 species